UAAAUGCUAUAAGUAAUUUGAAUUGCAGAAUUCAGUGAAUCAUCUAAUCUUUUAACUCACCUUGCGCUCCUUGGUAUUCCUUGGAGCAUGCCUGUUUGAGUAUCAUGAAAUCUUCAAAGUAAAUCUUUUGUUAACUCAAUUGGUUUCUACUUUGGUAUUGGAGGUCUUUGCAGCUUCACACCUGCUCCUCUUUGUUCAUUAGCUGGAUCUCAGUGUUAUGCUUGGUUCCACUCGGCGUGAUAAGUUAUCUAUCGCUGAGGACACUGUAAAAGGUGGCCAAGGUAAAUGCAGAUGAACCGCUUCUAAUAGUCCAUUGACUUGGACAAUACUUUUAUGAUCUGAUCUCAAAUCAGGUAGGACUACCCGCUGAACUUAAGC
rnacentral:misc_RNA from 1 species